UAACUGCGAGUGAAGCGGGAAGAGCUCAAAUUUAVAAUCUGGCGGUCUUUGNCCGKCCGANUUGUAGUCUGGAGAAGUGCUUUCCSCGCUGGASCGKGUAUMAGUCUCUGGAACAGAGCGUCMUMSAGGGUGAGAAUCCCGUCUUUGACACGGACUACCAGUGCUUUGUGAUGCGCUCUCAAAGAGUCGAGUUGUUUGGGAAUGCAGCUCAWAAUGGGUGGUGAAUUCCAUCUAAAGCUAAAUAUUGGCGAGAGACCGAUAGCGAACAAGUACCGUGAGGGAAAGAUGAAAAGCACUUUGGAAAGAGAGUUAAACAGUACGUGAAAUUGSUGAAAGGGAAACGCUUGAAGUCAGUCGCGUCGUCUGGAACUCAGCCUUGCUUUCGCUUGGUGCACUUUCCGGACGACGGGCCAGCAUCGAUUUUGACCGUCGGAAAAGGGCUGGAGUAAUGUGGCACCUCCGGGUGUGUUAUAGACUCUAGUCGCACACGGCGGUCGGGAUCGAGGAACGCAGCGCGCCGCAAGGCAGGGGUUCGCCCACUUUCGCGCUUAGGAUGCUGGCAUAAUGGCUUUAAACGACCCGUCUUGAAACACGGACCAAGGAGUCUAACAUACCUGCGAGUGUUUGGGUGGCAAACCCGAGCGCGUAAUGAAAGUGAAAGUUGAGACCUCUGUCGUGGAGGGCAUCGACGCCCGGACCUGACGUUCUCYGACGGAUCCGCGGUAGAGCAUGUAUGUUGGGACCCGAAAGAUGGUGAACUAUGCCUGAAUAGGGUGAAGCCAGAGGAAACUCUGGUGGA
rnacentral:rRNA from 1 species